AAUUUUUACAGGCUGUGUGGGACUGCUCAAGGAAGUAGUUGGGAAGAGAAACAGGUGUGUCUUGAUAUGUUAUUAGGUUUACGCAAAGAACUCAAUCAUGCAUUAUGGAAAGAGGGAUUUUGAGGCACCAUGGGAUGCAGCACAGCUGGAAUGUCCUUGCAGCUGACAUAAAUAACAGGAACUAGUGAGACCCCAGCCAGCAUCUGGGAAAGAGAAAGAGAGAGACAGGACGAUUGAGAGAGACAGGGAAAAAAAAGGUCUUCCGUCACACCAUGCUUCAUUACUUGGCCCUGUCAAAAUGCACAAUGUGCUGUGUGUUCAACUCGUGACCCUUUUCAGACUUCAUUUGCUGGCAGGAGUCAACUGCUUCUUAUUGCUGGAGGCAUUUUCUUCUCAGCCCAAAAGAGUAAAGACAACUAUCUUGAAGUCCUGGGGACACACCUUUUACAUAUUUUGUCAGUAUUUUUAUGUUGUUUUCAAGUAAUAAACAAUAUUGUUCAAAAAGGGUCAAUGUAAUUUAAUGUUUUUUUUGUUUGUUUUUUCUCUUAUGCUCUCAAAGGCUGUAUUUAUUUGAUAAAACAACAACAACAACAUAAAAUGGUAAUAAAGUGAUUUUUUCCCCUAUAUAAUGUAUUUUG
ensembl:lncRNA